rnacentral:lncRNA from 1 species
GAUCUCGUCAGGCCCGGUCGCUCGACCCCUACUCAUCUUACGCAAAGCCCCGAUGACCUCCUCCGCCCUAAUGCGCCUGCAGUACCCAAGGUCUCUAUGUUGCUCUGAAUGCACCAACUCCCCUAGCUCUAUGUUUCGACCCCCCUUCUCGUUAAGUAAGUCUCGAAAGUACGCCUGCCACCUCUGCUUGAUUUGAGACUCCCCCAUCAAAACUCU